rnacentral:lncRNA from 1 species
GAUGGCUGGGUUGGGGACUGUAGAAACAGCACCCAGAAGAGAUGGGACCCAACCCUUGGCACCAGGAGCCAGCUCCCAGCUCUUCAUAGACAAGCCUAAUUUCUUUGAUUAUCCAGACUCAGACCAAGCUAGCCUUCUUGCCGUGGCCCAGUUUAUUGGAGAGAAGCCUGUGAUGUUUGUUAAGACAGGUUCCAGCCCUGGGCUCUUCCAACACCUCCUGGUGGGCACAUUGGUGGUGGCUUUCUUCCUCCUGCUUUUCCAGAUCUGCAUGCACGUGAGCUUCCAGAAAGGAGCCUAGUGAUCAGAGCAACAGUAGCCCUGGACCCAGCUGUGAGCCACACACAUCCACCCAGCCUUCUGUUGAGAAAUAAAGUAUCAUGGGGAGAGGAGACCAGAACACUGGAGAUCGGGGGCAAUGACAGAAACGAGCUGAGGCAAGAUGCAAAGAUAUCCUCAGUUAAGAACCAGUGAGGAAGGUCCAGCCACUACAGCAAUCCUGUGGCCCAGCACCAGCGGACAUGACAGCUCUUACGUGCUGGGCACUAUGCUGGCACUGAAAUAUUUACACAGCAGCAGCAGCAGCUUGUUCACCUCUCACAAUACCCGUGUUGUGGAGAGGUUAAGUAAUGUGGCCAAGGAGUAACCACAGGAGUCCUUGCCAUAGGCCCCACUGUCUCAAGGAGGUUGGAGAGUUGGAGACAGUCCCCAGGGCACCAGAGGGAUGUCACUGCAGCCUGCCUUUGCUC